UGCGUAGGCGGUCUUUCAAGCCAGAAGUGAAAGGCUACGGCUCAACCGUAGUAAGCUUUUGGAACUGUAGGACUUGAGUGCAGGAGAGGAGAGUAGGAUUCCUAGUGUAGCGGUGAAAUGCGUAGAUAUUAGGAGGAAUACCAGUAGCGAGGGCGGCUCUCUGGACUGUAACUGACGCUGAGGCACGAAAGCGUGGGGAGCGAACA
rnacentral:rRNA from 1 species